AAUUAUUAGGUAUAACGAUUUAAGUUAAGUACUAUUAAUUAAUCUAAAAUAAGAAAUUAUGUAUUUAGAAAUUUAGAAUUUGUUCAGUUCGUUUUCUAAGAGAUGAUUACAGUGUUUGGACAAAACAAAUAAACGUGAACCCCGAACGGGUCUCCCGGCGGCCUCGCGGAUUCCGUUCGUCGGCGCAGGUGUCCGCGGAUCUGAAAAUCUCUCGGUAUACUUACGUACGAUUAACGUCGUGCAGGCGUUGCAAAAUCCGCGAUCGCUGUCAAACAUACCGUGGGCGGUGUACGGACUUGAAGAACUAUUGUGUUUUCAAUGUUUUUACUGUUAACGAAAAACACUGCAACAAACGCCAAUUUUAUUGUUUAAUUAUUUCAUCUGAAUAUUAGGUUUUUAAUGUUAAUAUGUUAGUGAUUUCGAAAUAUUGUUUGGUUUUUCUUUUUAAGAUUUCUAUUGUCUACUUAGAUUUAACCUGUUAUACUACUACAGAAUAGAAUCUGUUAUGACUAGGUAUAAUGAAGUCAAUGUUGGGCGAUAGACGAUAGUAAAUUCCACCAAUUUAUAGAUACCUAGUCGAUUUUAGGGUUGGAUUUGUAACAUGUAAAUUCCACCGUUACUUUUUUUUUACUUGAAAAAAAUGUUAAUUCGACUGGUAUGUAUUUUUGACCAGUAAAACACGUAAACUACACCGAUGAUAAAAUCCACAGAUAACAACUAUUUUUAAUAUAUAUAUAUAUAGCUACCCUGCUACCCGCCUACACAUGAACUGUCUAGUGAUCAUUAUUGAUUAAUAUAUGAUUUUUAAAAUUAUUGUAUUUAAAUGUAAUAUAUAUAUAAUAUAUAAUAAAUCCACACAUAAAUUAUAUAAGUACCUAUUUUUUGUAUGAUGUUUAUUUUAUUUCAGGUAAAAAAAAAACCGGUGCAAUUUACAUUUUUGUUACAGCCUUACAGAUAAUAAAAAGUACCGGUGCUAUUUAUAUGAAAAAAGGUUUAAAAAGAUAACAAUCGGUGGAAUUUACAUGCGUACAUGCCCUCUGCACGUCUUAACUCUUAAGUCUUUAACCUAUACAAAUAAUGACUGAAAAUGUAAAAUACGUGUAUAGACUACAGACGGACGCCAAUGACAGCCUGGUACUUAAUGGGCCCUCAAAAAUGUUUUUUCAAAAAAUGAUAAAAAAAGUGCUUAUAAGUAGGUAGUGAAAAUGGUGAAUUCACCAUUCACCAUUGUGAAAAAUAAUCAAUAGUCAAUAAAUAAAAUAAUUUAGAUAAAAUAUCAUCAGUGGCGUAGCCAGGAUUAUGAAAUGGGGGGUGUUUUAAGUAUAGA